GCGCGAUUAGCUCAGCGGGAGAGCACUACCUUGACACGGUAGGGGUCACUGGUUCAAUCCCAGUAUUGCGCACCA
rnacentral:tRNA from 1 species